UGGGGGAAAAUUAAUAUAAUAAAAUAAAUAAUAAAAAUAAUUAUAAAAAAUAAUUAAUGGGGGUUAAAGUAUUUUUUAGAAAAAAUUUAUUAAUUUAUAGUUUAAUAGUAUUGUGAAAGAAUUUUGAAAUAAAGUUAAAUAUGGAUUAUUAUUUAAGUAAAUUUAAUUUAUUGUAUCUUGUGUAUCAGAGUUUAUUAAUAAAAUAUUUUUAAAUAAAAAUAUCUCGAAUUUAAAAGAGAUAGUUAAUUAUUAAAGUUAAUGUGACAUAAUUAUUUUAAAUAAUUAAUUUGAAAUGAAAUGUUAAUCGUUUUUAAAAAUAUCUAGUUUUUUUAGAAAAAAAUUUAAUUUUAAAUUAAUUUAAUAAUUUUUUAAAUUUUUUGUAAAAAAUUAUAUAUUUAAUUAAAUAUUUUAAGGGAUAAGCUUUAAAUUAAAUUUUUAUAAUGUUAAUAAACUAUUUAAAUAUUUUAAAAUUUAUAUUUUUUAUAAAUUAUAAUUUUUUAUAAAUAAUUUUAUUUAUUUUAAAAUUUAAAUUUAUAUUUAAAUUUAUAUAAAAAAAUAAUUUUUAAUAAUAAAAAAUUAGUUAUAAUGAUAAAAUUAGUAUAUAAAAAAAAAAUAAAAUAAAAUUAAUUAAAAUUAAUAAAAAGGAAUUCGGCAAAAAU
rnacentral:rRNA from 1 species